UGCGGGAAGGUGCAGGGGUGAAGAGUGGGAGGGGCAGGCUGAUGUCCAGGCCCCACGCCUGGCUGAGCGUCUCCCAAGAGCACCUUUGGAACACAGCUGCCACUUUGAUGCCGGACACCUCUCGGUUGAUCUACAGCCAUGUCAACGUGGCUUUCUCAGGAAGGACCCUGUGUGGUCAUUUCUGGAAUCGGCUGGACGGUGGAGCUAGGCCUGGAAGGAACCAGAGAGAGCGGCCAGGAGCCAGGCGAAGUUCUACCAGCGGGAGGUCACCUGAGCUUUUAAGGACACAGGUCUGCACCUUUGUGACCGUGGGUCCCCCUAUGACCCACUGAGCAGAUGGACAGAUGUGACCCCAGCACCCAGCAUCAUUGGGGGGCCUCUCCGCAGCCACAGCUAUGCGGUGCCAUGCAACAGAGACGCAUGUGUCUCCAUCAGGGGCUACGGUCAGGCCCCCCAAGGCAGGGCCACUGAGGCCCACCUUAGGAGACAGGCAGUUAUGAAGGCCCCACCCUGCCUGCCAGGAGCUCACAGUCCAGCGAGGAGAAAGGCGGAGAUACAGGCAGUUGUCCAGGGACCAGCUCUGCCCCUGGAGAGGACGGGCGUUCAGUGUGGACCAGGGCCCUGUAUUCUACGGACAGUUCCCAGCUGCACCUGAAGGCAGGUCAACUCAGAUUAUAAACAGAGAGAGAGAGAAGCGAGCCCGUGUAUACAUUCAUUCCGUUCAGCUAAGUCCCUGCUCUCGGGGCAGCAGACCUGCCUCCAGGGCCCCCAGGAACCACAGCAAAUGGCCUCAGGCUGCCCCCGGGGCAUCUGGUCCACACGGCACUUCCUUUGAUCAGAGGUCUUUAAAAGAGAGAAGCUGGGACAUUGCAGGCAAGCCCCCGUCUCCUCCCAGCAGCAGCCUUCCCCAAGGUGCUUGGGCAAGCCAGGAGUAAACACUCUGUUAUCGUGCAUUAAUUGAUUCUUCUUUCCCUGGAAGAAACAGAGAGAGAAUUCUAAGAAGCCAUCGCAGCAGAGAUCGGAGCUCCAAGGGGAUGGGCAGACCAGACGCCCACGAGGGUGCUGCUUGUAGGACCCACUGUUCAGGGCUGUGGCCCCCGUCCCCAAGGGCAGGAGUACACAACCCCCGUGACACCUGCCCACAUACCUGAGCACACCUGCUCACACCUGAGCACACCUGAGCACACCAGUGCCCGUGAGCCAAGUAUAAUAAAUAGUAUAAAAAUCUAAAAAAAACAAAAAGCUUAAACAUUGGGAAAUUGUAAGGAGUCAGGCUGUCAUUAUUUGAAUAUUAUAAUAUUCUACACAGAAAAUCCAUCAAAGUCUAUACCUAAAUUAUUAGAAGUGAUAUGCAUUUAACCAUAAGACAAACAUCAAAAAUUACCAACAUAUUUAUACCCGUGAAACAGACAGAAUUUUCCAAAGGCCCCCAUUUAUAAAAAUAGCAGGGGCCGGCCGAGUGGCGUGAUGGUUAAGAACUCGCUUGGGAUGCCAGAGGGCCCUGGUUCAG